rfam:Ictidomys tridecemlineatus contig016374, whole genome shotgun sequence.
GGGGUUGUGGCUCAGUGGUAGAGCACUUGCCUAGCAUGUGUGAGGCACUGGUUUUGAUCCUCAACACCA